ensembl:lncRNA
UGGGAUGUACAUGGGCGAGGCUUACUGCGUGGCAAGACACAGGCAAGUCGCGCAGAGCCUCAGUCCGUUCUUUAUUUUAUAGCAGAGAAUAGAUUACACAGCAUCUCUAGGUGGAGCAUACGUAAUAGAAAAACAUCUCUAGAUAUGGUUAUCGCAUGAGUGGCCGUUAUCCAUAAGACAAGAGGAACUAGUAUCUUUUGUCAUAUCAGCUUCAGGUUGGAACUGUCUCUGCCUGAGAGUGUGUGACUUUGUAACUUCCUCACGCAUGCUUCUGUUCCUUAAUCUGUAGGUUACAGGCACAUCAUGUUCUCACAAGAAAUUAUACUUAAGCAAAAUAAAAGUUAUCAAAGUAAGUAAAUGUAAAAAUCUCUUAACAUUUACCAAUAAAGAAUUAGGUUUAGGUUCAUGGGUGGAGUUUGGUGUUUGAUUAAAAUCUGCUGCUUUUCUACUUUCACCGUGACCAGGGUUCUGUGGACACCUGGUCACUGAAGACAUUUGUUGUCACUGCUGCAAAAUGAAUGUGAGAACAGUCCAACGAGAAUUUCUGAGGGAUUUUUGUGAUUUAAAAGGUCUUUGGUCCUCACAGAUGUAUUGAUGAAAAAGUUGCUUAUCUUUGCUGUUAAAGGGACGACAAAUAUUUCUAACAGUAGAAGUCCAAUCACUUUCUUUUAACAUUAGUAGUUUCAGAGGUCAAGUUUGUCCUCGGAUAGUAAACUGUGUUUGACUUUCUGUCACCUGUGAAACAAAAUACGCUGCUCCAGCUUUUCCUUUAAACAUUUCUUUUUUUUUUACAAAGCUGAAUGGCCAAGGUGCUCAUUCAUCACAUCUGCAUUUCAUUACAUAGCUGUGCUUUUAUUUUGUUGUUCCUCUAUAUAAGAUAAAGCUACAUUCUGAGUUAAUUACCCACACAGUGUGUGCAUCCACACAUGGGCUGUACUUAAAUGCACCAUGUGUUGGAAAGCUGUUGUCUUACUCCAUGUGUUUUAGCUUUAAGUGUUUAACCAUGCACUCCUCUUCCCUUGGCUCUUUUCCCCCUUUGCCUGCCUUUAUGCUAAGACUUGUUUUAAAGAAUAAGCGUACUUUGAAUUGCUGUUAGCAAGUGAGGCAUUCUAGCUGAGUCUGACAGGUUUUGCUGAGUUAAUUGAUGAUUUUUUAAACCAUAGAUUGUGGCAGCCAACAAGGAGAAUUCAACACUGUGCUCAUGCGAGUUCUUGUUAACCAUUACUUACAUAAAUACCUUUGGAAAACCUGUGCUUCUUCAAACUUGCAUGUUUUUUUAUCGUCUGAUAAGAAUACAGUAGCAGGCUUUCUGGCACUGUCUCUCUUCACAGCUCGGUAAUCUAAUCUAUCUGCAUGCCCUGUCUCUCUCUCUGCGUCUGUCAGUUGGUUUUAGGUGCACUGAGUUACCUGAGGAAGGUCAUAUUGUUUGUUCGCACCCACACAAGCAUUCCUUUUAUGCUAAUGUUCAAGAACAAAUUAUACUACAUAGGCCAUGUGCGUACAUAGCAUAACCACAUUGUGCCCACUUAAGUUUGUUUCACCAUGAGUAUUUAAAUAAAUGACCCACGUUGAGCUGAGAUCAAUCAAUAUCCCACAGAGGACAGUGCAGCUGUUUUUGCCACUGCAGCAGUGCUCCUCUACUGCAGUGGUUCUCAAACUGUGGUACGGGUAUCACUAGUAGUACUUGGGCUCUCUCUGGUAGUACGCAGGAAAUCUCCAAUUUUUUUUUAAAGAUUAAAUAAUAUACUAUUAUGGAGGUAUGCAAAGACGACACAAGAGUUCCCGAGGCUCUUCUGGGAACCGGAGUCAACCAGAAAACGUCUCCCCGAGGGUGGGUUCCUCUGGGAAAUUCUGGGAAAUUUCCUGGGCCUUAAAACUGCAAAGGCAGCACGGCACCGUCACACUGAUGGUAAAAACACAGCCCUUUUCCCAUGGUGCCGCUGUGCCGUGAUCCCAGCCACCAUCGAUGAGUCGAAGGCCCCCGGGAGAAUCGGUGGAGGUGUGGGAGAUGUCAUCGGUGAGUCGGGAACUGUCGCCUGGAUGCCAGUACAGUUGUUAUUAUUAUCACUCGUCCUUUUUAUGACAGUUAAAAUAAAUGACAUUCAUAUGAGAAAUAAAAUUGUCUCGUGUAAACUGUAUGUGGUGUUAAAUAGGCUUAUACUACUGUAAGGGUGGUACUUCAAGAGCCAUAUAUUUUAUGAGGUGGUACUCACUGUGAAAAGUUUGAGAACCACUGCUUUACUGCAACAAAGACAAUGUAGCUUGUAGUCUUUUCAUUCUUUAAUCAUUCUGAGAACUCAUUAGAGGCAAUUCUGAUGUUUUCAAACAGGAAAAAAGAGAAAUGAAGACACAUUAAGACUAUUUACACAAUGCUUACCCUUACAGAUGGCUGCACUGAAGGUCAGCCCCAGGGAUCAUACCUCACACGUAUCAGAAUAAGGCACAGAAAACAGCAGAUCAAGUCGAGCUCACGUAUCAUUUUUCCUGUGCCAGACAUCAUGUGCAGGAAAAAUCUGAAGGAACAUUCUUCUCAUACAUAAACAAGACUAUGUCUGUAAAUGAAUAAGUCAAGUUGAUUCAUUUACAGACACAUAAGGUUAUACAAAGUCAUUUAGAUCACCCAGUUAAAAUGUCCUGACUGGAGGUUGAUGUCAUAGAAUAUUUCUG